AUUGAACGCUGGCGGCAUGCUUUACACAUGCAAGUCGAACGGCAGCGCGGGCUUCUGCCUGGCUGCGAGUGGCGAACGGGUGAGUAAUGCAUCGGAACGUGCCCCGUAGUGGGGGAUAGCCCAUCGAAAGCCGGAUUAAUACCGCAUACUACCUGCGGGUGAAACCGGGGGACCGAAAGGCCUCGCGCUCUUGGAGCGGCCGAUGUCGGAUUAGCUAGUUGGUUGGUUAAAGGCUUACCAAGGCGACGAUCCGUAGCUGGUCUGAGAGGACGACCAGCCACACUGGGACUGAGACACGGCCCAGACUCCUACGGGAGGCAGCAGUGGGGAAUUUUGGACAAUGGGGGCAACCCUGAUCCAGCCAUGCCGCGUGCGGGAAGAAGGCCUUCGGGUUGUAAACCGCUUUUGUUCGGGAAGAAAUCCUCUGGGCUAAUACCCCGGGGGGAUGACGGUACCGGAAGAAUAAGCACCGGCUAACUACGUG
rnacentral:rRNA from 1 species